rnacentral:lncRNA from 1 species
UCCCUGUUCUUAUCUCAACCCUUGAGCCCUUUUUCAUUGUAUUUUCUCCCCCUUCCCCCUUGAGGAGGAGCGAGAGAAGGGUUGUGAUGGCCUUUGGCUGCCUGUUGGUGUGAAACCACAGCAGAAGGUGCAGAAGACCUGUUCCCUCGACCUUACAGUUCUUGCUUAUGUCCCAGAGGUCUGACCUCAGUUCGAGGACUGUGAGUGUUAGUCACAAGUAGCUCUGUCUUUGAGGAACUGGAAUUAACCUAUCUGGUUUCAAGCUUUAAAUGCAGAUUAAAAAAAAAAAAAAAAAAAUAAAAAAAAUAAAUUGUGCAAGAGCUUGUUGUGCAGCUAGGGGCUGGCACAGGAUGGAGUUGUGGGACUUUUGUGGGACUUAGAGCUGAUUUCUUAUCUCUCGUCCACCCUGAGAAAAAACAGAAGUCGCAGUGCAAGAAAACUUCUGGUUUUCAUUACUGUUCUUCUUCUGUGUUGUUUUUGUUUUUUUUUUUUAAAGUGUCAGAGGGCUGGAGUUUGUGCUGAUGCAAGCAACACAACAGCCUGUUCUCUGCCAGCAAAUUAAUGAGUCAUACAGGGAGAGAGCUCUGUAUCAAGGCAGCUCCUGCAAGCUGAGUUUACCCAUCCCUCAAAUGUCUGAUCCAGUAUGCGUGCACCAAGUGGUCCCAAGGACAGGGAUUUCUGCUCUGAUCCCUGGUGAACAAGGCUAUCUUCCUAUAAAUUGGGAACAGAAAUGUGGACAUUUGGACCUGUACCUGCAGCUUCAGCAUCACAGAGCCAAAGGGUGGUGGACCACACACGUGCACCAACACCAUAAUCAGUGGGUUCAGAGCAGUCUGGUCUGUGAAGAGCAAAGCCAUCAGGAUUACAGAUACUUUCCUCCAGGUCUCAGGCCUUCCAUUAACCUGAAUUUAACGAAGCACAAUGACAGCAGCAUUCAUUUUUCUUGA